UAACUUUCAGCAACGGAUCUCUUGGCUCUCGCAUCGAUGAAGAACGCAGCGAAAUGCGAUAAGUAAUGUGAAUUGCAGAAUUCAGUGAAUCAUCGAAUCUUUGAACGCACCUUGCGCUCCUUGGUAUUCCGAGGAGCAUGCCUGUUUGAGUGUCAUGA
rnacentral:rRNA from 1 species